AUACCUGGAAUGGUUUGUGUUCCAAAUGAUUUAUCGCCAUAGGAUGGGACUGCGGCCUAUCAGUUUGUUGGUGAGGUAAUGGCCCACCAAGACUAUUACAGGUACGGGCUCUGAGAGGAGUAGCCCGGAGAUGGGUACUGAGACACGGACCCAGGCCCUAUGGGGCGCAGCAGGCGAGAAAACUUUGCAAUGUGCGAAAGCACGACAAGGUUAAUCCGAGUGAUUUGUGCUAAACGAAUCUUUUGUUAGUCCUAGAAACACUAACGAAUAAGGGGUGGGCAAGUUCUGGUGUCAGCCGCCGCGGUAAAACCAGCACCUCAAGUGGUCAGGAUGAUUAUUGGGCCUAAAGCAUCCGUAGCCGGCUCUGUAAGUUUUCGGUUAAAUCUGUACGCUUAACGUACAGGCUGCCGGGAAUACUGCAGAGCUAGGGAGUGGGAGAGGUAGACGGUACUCGGUAGGAAGUGGUAAAAUGCUUUGAUCUAUCGAUGACCACCUGUGGCGAAGGCGGUCUACCAGAACACGUCCGACGGUGAGGGAUGAAAGCUGGGGGAGCAAACCGGAUUAGAUACCCGGGUAGUCCCAGCUGUAAACUAUGCAAACUCAGUGAUGCAUUGGCUUGUGGCCUAUGCAGUGCUGCAGGGAAGCCGUUAAGUUUGCCGCCUGGGAAGUACGUACGCAAGUAUGAAACUUAAAGGAAUUGGCGGGGGAGCACCACAAGGGGUGAAGCCUGCGGUUCAAUUGGAUUCAACGCCGGG
rnacentral:rRNA from 1 species